rnacentral:lncRNA from 1 species
UUUGUUACCCUUUCUGGAAAAGGAACAGCUUCUUCAGUCUUACAGUUCUUUGAGAAUUUCUCCGCUUUGAGUUUUUAUUUGGCCCUUGCAAAGGAGGCCACGGCCUUGGCAGCAGAACUGGAGAACAUUUAAAGGCCAGGUGGCUGCUAAAUCAAUCAAACCACAAGGCUGGGAGGGAGAAGCUACAAUGGAAGGAUCUGCCCACCUCACCACAGUUCACAGACAUCAUGGGUUUUCGAAGAGAAGAGAAGAGAAGAGAAGCAACUAAAACCCACAAUUCACCAGUCCAAGAUAAAAUUCAGCAACAGCCCAAGAGGCACCAGGCAGGCAUGCAAACUGUGCAUACACAAGGAGAGAUCAGCCAGGGGCCUUUCAUGCUUCUGAGACCUUGA